rnacentral:rRNA from 1 species
ACGCUCGACACCUACGGGAGGCAGCAGUGGGGAAUAUUGCACAAUGGGGGAAACCCUGAUGCAGCGACGCCGCGUGGAGGAAGAAGGUCUUCGGAUUGUAAACUCCUGUUGUUGGGGAAAAAGAGGAUGGUACCCAACAAGGAAGUGACGGCUAACUACGUUCCAGCAGCCGCGGUAAUCUGAGCGGGCUGGCAAGGC